UGGGGAAUUUUGGACAAUGGGCGAAAGCCUGAUCCAGCAAUGCCGCGUGUGUGAAGAAGGCCUUCGGGUUGUAAAGCACUUUUGUCCGGAAAGAAAUCCUUGGCUCUAAUACAGUCGGGGGAUGACGGUACCGGAAGAAUAAGCACCGGCUAACUACGUGCCAGCAGCCGCGGUAAUACGUAGGGUGCAAGCGUUAAUCGGAAUUACUGGGCGUAAAGCGUGCGCAGGCGGUUUGCUAAGACCGAUGUGAAAUCCCCGGGCUCAACCUGGGAACUGCAUUGGUGACUGGCAGGCUAGAGUAUGGCAGAGGGGGGUAGAAUUCCACGUGUAGCAGUGAAAUGCGUAGAGAUGUGGAGGAAUACCGAUGGCGAAGGCAGCCCCCUGGGCCAAUACUGACGCUCAUGCACGAAAGCGUGGGGAGCAAACAGGAUUAGAUACCCUGGUAGUCCACGCCCUAAAACGAUGUCAACUAGUUGUUGGGGAUUCAUUUCCUUAGUAACGUAGCUAACGCGUGAAGUUGACCGCCUGGGGAGUACGGUCGCAAAGAUUAAAACUUAAAGGAAUUGACGGGGUCAUAGCUUUUUCC
rnacentral:rRNA from 1 species